rnacentral:rRNA from 1 species
UGGGGAAUAUUGGACAAUGGGCGAAAGCCUGAUCCAGCCAUGCCGCGUGUGUGAAGAAGGCCUUAUGGUUGUAAAGCACUUUAAGUGGGGAGGAAAAGCUUAUGGAUAACACCCAUAGGUUCUGACGUUACCCACAGAAUAAGCACCGGCUAACUCUGUGCCAGCAGCCGCGGUAAUACAGAGGGUGCAAGCGUUAAUCGGAAUUACUGGGCGUAAAGCGAGCGUAGGUGGUUUAUUAAGUCAGAUGUGAAAUCCCUGGGCUUAACCUAGGAACUGCAUCUGAUACUGAUAAACUAGAGUAGGUGAGAGGAAAGUAGAAUUCCAGGUGUAGCGGUGAAAUGCGUAGAUAUCUGGAGGAAUACCGAUGGCGAAGGCAGCUUUCUGGCAUCAUACUGACACUGAGGUUCGAAAGCGUGGGUAGCAAACAGGAUUAGAUACCCUGGUAGUCCACGCCGUAAACGAUGUCUACCAGUCGUUGGGUCUUUUAAAGGCUUAGUGACGCAGUUAACGCGAUAAGUAGGCCGCCUGGGGAGUACGGCCGCAAGGUUA